rnacentral:lncRNA from 1 species
UAGAAAUGGAUAUUGGGCCCAUUCCUCCCUUAAAAGGCCUUGUAAGGGAGAGGGUUGCCUCACCAUAUAAAGUGGCUCAUGCCACUAUCUCCAAUCCAAUGUAGGACACUUCAAUACACCCCCGCACGCGCAGCGUGGACUAUUCCAAACGCCAUCUGUUGACAACGAUAUUGGGGGGCCCAUCAUUGGAUUGGGUUGGCUCUGAUACCAUGUUAGAAAUGGAUAUUGGGCUCAUUCCUCCCUUAAAAGGCCUUGUAAGGGAGAGGGUUGCCUCACCAUAUAAAGUGGCUCAUGCCACUAUCUCCAAUCCAAU